rnacentral:rRNA from 1 species
UACGAAGGGGGCUAGCGUUGCUCGGAAUUACUGGGCGUAAAGCGCACGUAGGCGGCUUCUUAAGUCGGGGGUGAAAUCCCGGAGCUCAACUCCGGAACUGCCUUCGAUACUGGGAAGCUCGAGUCCGGGAGAGGUGAGUGGAACUGCGAGUGUAGAGGUGAAAUUCGUAGAAUAUUCGCAAGAACACCGGUGGCGAAGGCGGGUCUCUGGGCCGGUAACUGACGCUGAGGAGCGAAAGCAUGGGGAGCGAACAGG